rnacentral:rRNA from 1 species
AUUGAACGCUGGCGGCAUGCUUUACACAUGCAAGUCGAACGGUAACAGGUUAAGCUGACGAGUGGCGAACGGGUGAGUAAUGCAUCGGAACGUGCCCGGUCGUGGGGGAUAACACUUCGAAAGAAGUGCUAAUACCGCAUACGAUCUGAGGAUGAAAGCGGGGGACCGUAAGGCCUCGCGCGAUCGGAGCGGCCGAUGUCAGAUUAGGUAGUUGGUGGGGUAAAGGCUCACCAAGCCGACGAUCUGUAGCUGGUCUGAGAGGACGACCAGCCACACUGGGACUGAGACACGGCCCAGACUCCUACGGGAGGCAGCAGUGGGGAAUUUUGGACAAUGGGCGAAAGCCUGAUCCAGCAAUGCCGCGUGCAGGAAGAAGGCCUUCGGGUUGUAAACUGCUUUUGUACGGAGCGAAAAGGCUCUCUCUAAUACAGGGGGCUUAUGACGGUACCGUAAGAAUAAGCACCGGCUAACUACGUGCCAGCCGCCGCAGUAAAAC